rnacentral:rRNA from 1 species
GACAGAGGGUGCAACCGUUGUUCGGAAUUACUGGGCGUAAAGCGCGUGUAGGCGGCCCUGCAAGUCGGGUGUGAAAUCCCACGGCUCAACCGUGGAAGUGCACUCGAAGCUGCAGGGCUAGAGUCCUGGAGAGGAAGGUGGAAUGCUUGGUGUAGAGGUGAAAUUCGUAGAUAUCAAGCGGAACACCGGUGGCGAAGGCGGCCUUCUGGACAGUGACUGACGCUGAGACGCGAAAGCGUGGGGAGCAAACAGG